UGCUUUCACUCUGCAGCCCUCAGCUCCCAGCCCCUUACACUGGUUUCCCUCUUGAGCAUUAUCUGCUCAGUGAUGACCUCUGAUCCAUUCUGCCAAUAGUUAUCCCAGACUCUUUCUGUCUCUCUACAGAGAGAAGGUGUGGGUGGACAAAGCAAAGCAGAGCCCUGACCUCACACCAGCUGGCUGAGCUGUCUUGGCUUGCAUUUGCUGUUCCAGCAUUUGUGGAGUUUGAAAUCUGCAUGCUUGGAGUGCGGAGAGCUGGAUCUUGCACCACAGUCUCCCUGUGGGCUCUUGAAUGAGAAAACCAGGGGAAGCAGAGGUAAGAACCUGUUCAAGAAGGCACAUCUCAGAUGUGGAAGAACCAUGAUUCAACUCGAGUCUGUCUGCUUCCCAAGACUGUGGUAUUUAAACAGCUUAUAAUGAAAAUUCCUUCUAUAGCUCCCCAUAAAAGGGCACACAGUUCUUUCUUAACGUAUUAUUUCAGGCAUUCAUUCACCAUUGAUGUAUUUGUGAAGGUGUUCUCUCUAAAUAAACUAUUGGGACCUUA